UCGCACGGGACUUCGGUCCAGUGGCAGACGGCUGAGUAACGCGUGGGUGACGUACCUGUCGGUGGGGAAUAACUGCCCGAAAGGGUGGCUAAUACCGCAUAAGUCUGUGUUUUCGUUGAUACAGGCAAAGCAGCAAUGCGCCGAUGGAGCGGCCCGCGUCCGAUUAGCCAGUUGGUGGGGUAACGGCCUACCAAAGCGACGAUCGGUAGCUGGUCUCAGAGGAUGAUCAGCCAGACUGGGACUGAGACACGGCCCAGACUCCUACGGGAGGCAGCAGUUAGGAAUUUUGGGCAAUGGGCGCAAGCCUGACCCAGCAACGCCGCGUGGGUGACGAAGGCCUUCGGGUUGUAAAGCCCUUUUCUCAGGGAAGAUGAUGACGGUACCUGAGGAAGAAGCACCGGCUAACUACGUGCCAGCAGCCGCGGUAAUACGUAGGGUGCGAGCGUUGCCCGGAUUUAUUGGGCGUAAAGGGCGCGUAAGCGGCUCUGCACGUUCGUUGUGAAA
rnacentral:rRNA from 1 species